UCGAUGGCCUGCUUAAUCGUACUGUUACUCACAAACCAGGAAAGAUUAUGGACGGAAGUAAUGGUGAUAUAGCUGUUGACCAUUAUCAUCGAUACAUGGAGGACAUAGAGAUGAUACAUUCGCUCGGCAUCGACUCAUACAGAGUCUCAUUGUCCUGGUCGAGAAUACUACCAAAGAGAGGGUCGCUUCGGAGGUGUUAAUCAGGCAGGUGUUAGAUUCUACAACAGCCUCAUCAACGGCCUGCUACGAAAAUGAAUACAUCCAUUUGUGACGCUGAAUCAUUUCGACAUACCCAAAGAACUCGAAGACAGAUACCGCUCCUGGCUGAGCCCAGAGCUUCUCCUUCGCAGCUUUGACAAGAAUUUCUAAGAUAUAUGUCGCUGCCCGGAGGUUCGGUAAGCGUAUAUACGGCUGUUUCUGCAUUUCACUUCAGGGAGGACUACACCUACUUCGCCGAGCUUUGCUUCAAGAUGUUUGGUGACCGAGUAAAACAUUGGACUACGCUCGAUGAGCCGAAUCUUAUGGUGAAAAACGCAUACUUCAACGGCAGAUACCCUCCCAACCACUGUUCCAAGCCGUUCAGGAAAUGCACUUCAGGAAAUUCAUCAACUGAGCCCUACAUUGCAGCACAUAACAUCAUAUUAGCACAUGCAAAU